rnacentral:rRNA from 1 species
UACGUAGGGGGCUAGCGUUGUCCGGAAUCAUUGGGCGUAAAGAGCGUGUAGGCGGUCCGGUAAGUCCGCUGUGAAAGUCGGGGGCUCAACCCUGGGAUGCCGAUCGAUACUGCCGGACUAGAGUCCGGAAGAGGCGAGUGGAAUUCCCGGUGUAGCGGUGAAAUGCGCAGAUAUCGGGAGGAACACCAAUGGCGAAGGCAGCUCGCUGGGACGGUACUGACGCUGAGGAGCGAAAGCGUGGGGAGCGAACAGG